rnacentral:lncRNA from 1 species
CUUGACUCAGGCUAUAUAAAAAAGAGGCAACAGGCCAUAGUUUGCUCUUGGGCCCUAGCUUGGCACCCCCUGAACUAUAUGAAAGCUUGACUCUAAAGGCAAAGAAUGUGAUAGAAGCUGUGUACCUGCUGUUAAUGCAACUCACAUUGCAAUCAACACGAAAGAUUAAGAUCUCGGCCAGGUCUUUCAAUCCUCUUUCUCUGUUUUUGUGCCUUACAAGGAUUUUCUUAGAUAAGUUUCAUGAGCAUGGUAGAUCCAAUGGUCUCAAAAGAUUUAUCCUGCAUUCUGCAUGCACAGGUGUUUCACACAGCAAAGCCCAGGAGCACAGGUCUUGCAGCCUCUGGAUAACCAACUCGUCUCUCACCAGUGGUUCAAAAAAGCCCAUGCUAUCCUCAUCCAAAUAAACUUAUGAAAUGCUUUACCAAAUGAUUUGUUCAGAACAGUGAAUACUAGACACAACUUUGUGUGGAACAAGAGGAGAUCCAGUAAUGACAAUACAUCUUUUGUUAGAAAGACUUACAAAGGCUGUGACAUUCUUCUUUGAAGUGUUGUCAUUGUGUUGGAUGGGAUGAAGUGGUUCUAGGACACACAAAAAAGGAUCAAGAACAUCUGAGAAGACUACAGAUAAGUCCUUACUGCUGAUUUUGGACACAGGUCAGCCAUAUGAAGAUUCAGAUGAGCAGUCUGUGCUUCCUUUGCCUUAUCUCUCAAGAGCUGAGACCUUAUUUCUAUUCCACCUUGAACAAUUUUGUUUGAGUACAACAUAUUUACUGAUAUGGUCAGCUCAAGUCAUUGUGGAAUGAAUACUUAGAUGCUGCGUUCUUCCAAAAACUGAGCAGAACCUCCCUUCUGUGAACAUUUUCAAUAGGUUGUUUUCAAGGUGAGAAAGUGGGAGGGAGAAGGGGAUGAGCAUUGAAGUAAAUAUUUUUUUCUUCUUCUACUUUUGCUACUGGGAAUGUUCCUAUCCAGGAAGGCAGGUCCCCUUUUAUUUUAUCAGAUGCAGAGGAGUUAUCGUACCUCUGUUACCAAUUCUUUAUCCAUAAUUUAUGUUAGUAACAAGGGACCUGUUGCUAGCAGUUACUGAUGAAAACAAAAGCUGGUGGCUUUCUGGAAGAAGGGGGCGUGUGAUCUCAAGAGAGUUGCAUCAUGGCCAUACUCCUCUAAGUUUCUAAUUUUUUUUCCUUUUUUUUUUUUUUUGAGA